CUCAAGACUCAAUAUCUCUCUCUCUAAACUAUGCAAACAAAACCAAAGCCUAUGCAGUGUGGUCUUCCUUAUCCUCUCUCUCUUCCUAGCCCCAACGAUCUCUCUUACUCGCACCAUCAUUCUCGUCAAAGGCUGCUGCACCCUCUCACGCCACCACUCUCACCGGAGGCUGCUGCAUCAGGAGGUUCGCAUUGCUGCAACUCCUAGGAUCUUUGUCGUUCUUUGUAGGUCAAAAUAUCAUUGAAGCCCACUGAAAUAUAUCAACGAACAAGCACGGGACCUUCGCUAGCGUUGUAGUAUAAGGCUCAUUCAAGUACAUGAGAUGGGCCGAUCCAUUUCAGGCAGUAUGUCAUCCCCCACAUUAUCAGAUCAAGACAACAUGGGGGGACAACAUUGAACCCAUCGAGCAAGAUCACUUGCUUGCAACC